GCAAUGGACGGAAGUCUGACCGAGCACGCCGCGUGAGUGAAGAAGGUUUUCGGAUCGUAAAGCUCUGUUGUAAGAGAAGAACGAGUGUGAGAGUGGAAAGUUCACACUGUGACGGUAUCUUACCGAAAGGGACGGCUAACUACGUGCCGCGCCGCGGUAAUACGUAGGUCCCGAGCGUUGUCCGGAUUUAUUGGGCGUAAAGCGAGCGCGGCGGUUAGAUAAGUCUGAAGUUAAAGGCUGUGGCUUAACCUAGUACGCUUUGGAAACUGUUUAACUUGAGUGCAGAGGGGAGAGUGGAAUUCCUGUGUAGCGGUGAAAUGCGUAGAUAUAUGGAGGAACCCGGUGGCAAAGCGGCUCUCUGGCUUGUAACUGACGCUGAGGCUCGAAAGCGUGGGGAGCAACGGAUUAGAUACCCUGGUAGUCC
rnacentral:rRNA from 1 species